AAAAAAAAAUAAAUGGAAAAAACAACAACAACAAAAAUACAAAUGUGAAGAAGGUCUGCCAGCUCCUAUGCUUUGGUUUAAAGAGCAGUGUUCCAACAGGAGUCUACAAAAAAUUCCUCCUUGGGCUCGUGUUGUGAUGUUGAGCUGUGUCUGACCUCCCCAAGGACCUGAAACCUGAAGCAGCACAUGGAAUAGCAUCUAGUUACUUUAGUAGUUACGAAGUGUGUUAACACGCUUGGCCGCGUUAUUCAAUUGUAGGCAUUUAAUUGUUCUUUAAUUUCUAAUUAUCUCUUGGCUCUUUUUGUUAUUUUCAGAGUGUUUGCCGAAGAAUAUCCCACGUGUUCUUGAUAGUGACUCUGAAGGAAGUGAAUUCUCUGAUAUCUCUGCCUAUGAAGAUGGUGUCAGUCUGCACACGGACACUGACGUGGAAGACUUGUGUGGUGACAUCUCCAGUAUGCUUGAGGAUGUAACUUUCCCUCGGCAGCAAGCUGCUUCGACGUAUGAGGUGGAGGACUGGGAUAAAGAGUUGGAGGAGUCUGAAUGUAAUCCUUAUGAUGCUGGUGAUCUCUACUGCGGAAGCUUUCAGGAAAAUAAUCUUUUGGCCUCGUACUCAUUGCGAGAGGAUUCAUUGUACAACCCGUGCUGUCACCAUGCAGCUUGCCUGGCUUUUACACUGCCAGUUAGAAUGACUGAGGUUGGACAGUUUGAUGAUGCUGAUGAAUGA
rnacentral:lncRNA from 1 species